rnacentral:rRNA from 1 species
UAUUGCGCAAUGGGCGGAAGCCUGACGCAGCGACGCCGCGUGGGGGAUGAAGGCCUUCGGGUUGUAAACCUCUUUCGGCAGGGACGAAGGUGACGUGUACCUGCGGAAGAAGCGCCGGCUAACUACGUGCCAGCAGCCGCGGUAAUACGUAGGGCGCGAGCGUUGUCCGGAAUUAUUGGGCGUAAAGAGCUCGUAGGCGGCUGGUCGCGUCUGCCGUGAAAGCCCGCGGCUUAACCGUGGGUCUGCGGUGGAUACGGGCCGGCUAGAGGCAGGCAGGGGCAAGUGGAAUUCCUGGUGUAGCGGUGAAAUGCGCAGAUAUCAGGAGGAACACCGGUGGCGAAGGCGGCUUGCUGGGCCUGUCCUGACGCUGAGGAGCGAAAGCGUGGGGAGCGAACAGG